GGCCAGACUCCUACGGGAGGCAGCAGUGGGGAAUAUUGCGCAAUGGGCGAAAGCCUGAUGCAGCGACGCCGCGUGAGUGAGGAAGUAUUUCGGUAUGUAAAGCUCUAUCAGCAGGGAAGAAAAUGACGGUACCUGUCGAAUAAGCCACGGCUAACUACGUGCCAGCAGCCGCGGUAAUACGUAGGUGGCAAGCGUUGUCCGGAUUUACUGGGUGUAAAGGGCGUGUAGCCGGGCUGACAAGUCAGAUGUGAAAUCCGGGGGCUCAACCCCCGAACUGCAUUUGAAACUGUUGGUCUUGAGUAUCGGAGAGGCAGGCGGAAUUCCUAGGGUAGCGGUGAAAUGCGUAGAUAUUAGGAGGAACACCAGUGGCGAAGGCGGCCUGCUGGACGACAACUGACGGUGAGGCGCGAAAGCGUGGGGAGCAAACAGGAUUAGAUACCCCCGUGC
rnacentral:rRNA from 1 species